AGAGUUUGAUCCUGGCUCAGAACGAACGCUGGCGGCGUGCCUAACACAUGCAAGUCGAACGUGAAAGUCCUUCGGGAUGAGUAAAGUGGCGCACGGGUGAGUAAUGCGUAGAUAAUCUGCCUGAUGAUCUGGGAUAACAUCUCGAAAGGGGUGCUAAUACCGGAUAAGCCCACGGGCUCUUCGGAGCUUGCGGGAAAAGGGGGGGACCUUCGGGCCUUCUGUCAUCAGAUGAGUCUACGUACCAUUAGCUAGUUGGUAGGGUAAAGGCCUACCAAGGCGACGAUGGUUAGCUGGUCUGAGAGGAUGAUCAGCCACACUGGAACUGAGACACGGUCCAGACUCCUACGGGAGGCAGCAGUGGGGAAUUUUGCGCAAUGGGGGAAACCCUGACGCAGCAACGCCGCGUGAGUGAUGAAGGCCUUCGGGUCGUAAAGCUCUGUCAGAGGGAAAGAAAUGUGGGGCGCUAAUACCGUUACCAUUUGACGGUACCCUCAAAGGAAGCACCGGCUAACUCCGUGCCAGCAGCCGCGGUAAUACGGAGGGUGCAAGCGUUGUUCGGAAUUAUUGGGCGUAAAGCGCGUGUAGGCNGCUGGCCAAGUCGGAUGUGAAAGCCCCCGGCUUAACCGAGGAAGUGCGUUCGAAACUAGCUAGCUUGAGUACCGGAGAGGGUGGUGGAAUUNCCCG
rnacentral:rRNA from 1 species